AGAAGUAAAAGUCGUAACAAGGUUUCCGUUGGUGAACCAGCGGAGGGAUCAUUACCGAGUGCAAACUCAUAACCCUUUGUGAACCUAUAUCUGUUGCUUCGGCGGCUCGCUCUCGGGCGAGCCCGCCGGUAAUAUCAGUAUCUCUGUUUGAACCCGACGAUACUUCUGAGUGUUCUUAGCGAACAGUUAAAACUUUUAACAACGGAUCUCUUGGCUCUA
rnacentral:misc_RNA from 1 species